rnacentral:lncRNA from 1 species
UUUAAAUAAGACUAUUUAAUACAUUAUUUCUUUGUGGGGUGUGCUGAUAUUAAAAUUUUUAAUGAAUUUUUUGUGUCUAUAGUUGAAUUAAUCUAAUUGAUUUAGGCCUUGAAGGCAGGAGCAAGUUGAUAUGAGUGGAACCUCAUGCCAUGAACUUCCCUUGAGGACCAAGAGGAAAACUCCAAAACUCAUGCUCCAAGGAAAGAGGGGCACACUCAGCAGAACCGCUAUGGUGUGAUACAUACAUUGAAGAACAAUGAAUAUCAGGAAUGAAGACAAUUAUAACAUUACAGCUCAUUAUUUGCAGCACAUCAGCAACUGAAGGUGUAAGGUCUAGAAGCCAAGCACAUCAUUGCAGUGGUGAGACCACAGGUUGCUGUCUGGAAAAUAGACUUCAGAAGGAUCAGGGAAAGAAUGGACCCAAGGUUAGGGAGACUAUUAUCCAAUAAUAUUUUAGGACUCAGAAUCCCUUGGAAUCUGUAUUGUAAAUGCUCUGUCAGUUUUCUGGUUGAUUUACUGGAAGUUCUUAAAAAUAAGUUUUUCUCUGUUUUGAUAGUCUUAUUUUAAUUAAAAACAGGCAUAUCCACUGUCACUUCUGUUGCAUCCUACCACAUCUGGAAUUCUGCUUUAAAGCACUCUGAGUUUUUUAAUAAAUGUUUUCUAGGAAAAAAAGUUGCUGGGAAAGUCUUUAGCCUAAUUCCUGCAUUAAGUGAUAGUAUUUCUCACCAGAAUUUUGCAAUGAGGUAGACAAGGCCCAAGAGGUUAAGAGUGUUCUCAAAAAGUUCAGAGCUACUAAGUGUAUAAAUGCAGACUGUAGCUAAGCUCAUGUCUCUCCACCAGCACUUGAAGAUAUUCCCUUAUGGAUGACACUGCAUACUGAGGAAGAUGGAGUAUUUGGGUUUCUUGGUUUGAGGAGUCUGUGGUGUGAGUGUGAGUGAGUGUGUGUGUGUGUGUCUGUGUGUGUGUGUGUGGUAGCAGUGGUGGUGGUAGUUUGAUGCAGAAGGCUACACAGCCUGCCACGAGCCAGGCUACUGGUUAGGUGUCAUUUAAAGCAUCCAUCUGCCUCAUGAUGACCCCAGAAGCCUAUUGGAACAGAAGAAUUAGCCAAAUUCCUUAGGCAAAACCAAAUUUCUUACUUUCCAGGAAAA